CUUGCCAAUGUUUGAAAGCAUUCAGGCCUAAAUCGCUGGAAAGAUGGAACUCCUUAGACUGGUCUGAAGGGUGUAUACACAAUAAGCCAUUAAACUGCCAAAGCGGAGAUGGAUUUAUUAGAAUUGAGAGGGUGAAAACGCCAGAUACCUCACAUUCUUGGGUGAGCAAAAGUAUGAAUCUCGAGGAAUGCAGGGCUAAGUGCUUGCAGAACUGUUCUUGUAUGGCAUACACUAAUUUAGAUAUUAGAGGAGGAGGUAGCGGCUGCGCCAUGUGGUUUGGUGAUCUAAUUGAUAUUAAACAAUUUCAAUCAUUUGGCCAGGAUCUUUACAUCAGAGUCUCUGCUUCAGAAGCAGGUAUCAGUUUAAAAUCGGAACAUUUUCUUGUUACAGCUUGUGAUAAUUUCUUUUGGAAAUUGUUUAAUUAUACUUGGGCUCCUUCAUCAAUAAUGAUCAUGCAGAACUGAAAAACAAGGCUAAGGCGAAGCUGGCCGUGAUAAUUGCAACACCAAUUGCUAUGUUCUUGGGGCUUCUUGUAGUCAUUUAUUACAUCCGGAGAAGGAGAAGAAAAUUAGAAGGUAAUAUCAACUAUGGUCCUCAUUAAAGCAGGGGAAAGUUGGUAUUUGAUACAAAUACCAAAAUCGUUUCUGCUCACAGCACCGCUAUCAGAUCCCUGCCCUGUUUUCAAGAAAACAGUAAUACUAAAAUUUGUCAUUUCUCUUAUCAAAUUUGAUAAUACAUGGUUUUCAAUUUUGUUUUAUGAUCUGACAAAAAAGUGAGUCCAUGAACAAUUGGUUCGAUAUUUUUGGUUUUGGUGUUCAGAAGAAGCAUACAGCUUUUGUCUAUCUAAAUCUAUCAAUAUGCAUGAGAAAGCGUAUCUCUGUGUUGAAUGCUAGCCUAUUUUGACUACUGUUUCAGAUGAAGUUAAAGAAAGGAUUUUAAAUGAUCAAAAGAACCAAGGCCAGAGUGAAGAUAUGGAGCUUGCUGUAUUCGAGCUAGCUACGAUAGCCAGAGCUACUGGUAGUUUUUCUUUUAAUAACAAGCUAGGUGAAGGAGGUUUUGGACCUGUUUAUAAGGUAAAAGUAAGCACAUAUUACUAAAGUGAUCUCAAGCACGGAGAAUUCAUCUUUAUUGAAAGCUCAUCAAAAUAUUCCUAGUCUCCAGGGGACACUUGCAAAUGGACAAGAAAUUGCUGUGAAAAGACUUUCAAAGAGUUCCGGACAAGGAUUGAACGAGUUUAAAACUGAAGUAAAGUUGAUUGCCAAACUUCAGCAUCGGAAUCUUGUAAGGCUUCUUGGGUGCUGCAUUCAUGGAGAGGAGAAAAUGCUGGUUUAUGAAUACAUGCCUAACAGAAGUCUUGACUCAUUUAUUUUUGGUCAGAAACCUUUCAAUUUUAUAUUGUCUGCUCUCGGCUUGUGAAAUAGUUUUCUUUUGCUGCUUCAAAGGAUCAAAUAGAUAUAGAAUUAACAUGAAGGCAGUACUUGACAGAUCAAAGAAGGUGCAAAGUAUUAGAUUGGCCCAAGCGUUUCCAAAUUAUCUGUGGGAUUGCUAGGGGACUACUCUACCUUCAUCAAGAUUCCAGAUUGAGGAUUAUUCAUAGAGAUCUAAAAGCUAGUAAUGUUUUGCUUGAUAGUGAGAUGAACCCAAAAAUUUCAGAUUUUGGCAUGGCAAGACUUUUGGAGGAGACCAGACUGAAGCCAAUACCAACAGAGUGGUUGGAACUUAGUAAGUCUACUUUUUCUGCAAAUUUGAUCUAUAAAUGCCCAUGAAACUCUUAUCUGACAAUGUUUUGCAGUGGUUAUAUGGCACCAGAAUAUGCUAUCGAUGGGCUGUUUUCGGUAAAAUCAGAUGUGUUUAGCUUUGGCAUAUUGUUGUUGGAGAUAAUAAGUGGAAGAAAGAAUAGAGGAUUAUAUCAUCAAAAUCAAAAUGGCAACCUUAUUGAACAUGUAAGCCUGAUUGUCAUUAUCUUUUAUUACAUAUUUUGAACCGAUGAAUGAUAAAAGAAUUUCAUUUUGCUGCAGGCAUGGAGAUUAUGGAAAGAAGGCAGGCCUUUGGAUCUUGUUGAUGAGUUCUUAGCAGAGACCGGCAGUCUAUCACAGGUGUUACGAUGCAUCCACAUUAGCCUUUUUUGUGUACAACAACAUCCUAAGGAGAGGCCAAGCAUGUCAUCCGUGGUUCUGAUGUUGGGAAGUGAAAAUGAAUUGCCUCUGCCCAAACAACCUGGUUUUUGGUUUCACAAGAGUCCCUUUGAAGCAGAUUCUACAUCAGGCAACUACAAAUCAUCUUCUAGAAACGAAAUAAGUCUAUCAAUGUUAGAGGCUCGAUAGAGGGUGGUAUGCUUCAUUAAACCUAUUAUGCUCCAAACCAUCAGCAAUGACUCCAAUCCCACUUGAUGUUUGGGGCAUGUGCUUUUAGAGCCACUGCUAGUGAGAAAUGUUUCAGAAAUCAAACAUGCAAUUAAGCAUAAAUAGUAGUGUUUUGUUUAUUUCAUGGAUAGAUAGAUUGAAGGGCCGAACUGAAGCUUCAUACGGUUAACAUAUACAAAUUCCAUGCAAUCUCAUCAUUUACAAGUUUUUAAUUUAUCUUGUUUUCUGCUGCAUUUAUGUAAUAUCAAGGGCCAGCUAACCUUGUCAACUUGAAAAAUGAUAAUAUUAAUGCAUGAUGAGCCCAUCUUUGCCCUUAAUAUACCAAGUGAGAUAAAUGAAUCAACAAACUAACAUCAUUGUCUCGAUAUCAUUUUGUGCAUAAUCAAACAUUUGUUAUCAACAACAAAAAAAGAUCAUUCAUAAUUCAGGGAUUGCUCAGGUCCUUUUGCUUAAAUCCAGAAGCGGCUUAGUACUAUGAGACUGUAACCUCUUUUUGGGGCACAAAGGAAUGGACUUCACAAGAUUGGUCAAGCUAACUAGCAACUAGAUCUUUAACAGAGGCUAGGGAUUCCAAGGCUAUAGAGUUUCAUCUUCAUCUUUGUUUCAUCGUAGUCCAACUCUUUGGUUAUAGGGGCUUCAAAGGCGUUGGAAGACGUAACGAUCAGGCUGUCAGGGCUUCGCAAAACAAAAAGAAAAGGGAAGAGCACGUUGAUUGUACGUGACUGACAGGUGAUACGAGGUUGGCUUUGCCCUGUUCCAGACAAAGAUUUGGUGGGCCCAACACGUUGGCAAUAAUAUCAAACCUAAGAGUGAUAAUAGAUUGGCAAAACCAUGAACACAUCACUCAUCGCUCAGGGGAGGGGGAUUUGGAAAAAAUUAUGAAGUGGUACCAGCAAUUUUAGGCAUGGGCCGACAUGCUUAAUGGGCUUGUAGUGGACUAGCAAUUUUCUAAUGGGCUUAUUGUGGAUCAAGGACUGUUCUAAUGGGCUUCUAUUGGACAACAAAUGUUGGUUUUUUUUUUGGAAUGGAUUUAUUUAUACAUAAUUACAUAUAUAUUGUAUUUAAGAAAACAAAUGAAAUUUUGAAUUUCCACAUUACUUUUAUUCAUAAUUUUUUAAAUACAUUUUUACUAUCGCAAACCGUUUAUUAUGUUCACUACUCAUAAAUAUAUACAAACUUACAACGACAUAAUAAUUAUUGUAAAACAUUUUUUAUUCAUGAUUAAAUCAAAAUUUUAAUGAUACAGCUUGUCUAUUUCUUUUUCAACAUAAUGAAACUCAUAAAAAUAUUAUUAUUAUUAUCAUCAUAGUCAUAGUUGAAAAUGCUGGUCAACAUUUCAAAAAAAAAGUGAUUAUCUUUUUGUUAAUUAAAGUAAUAGUAAAAUAUCAAGAAACACGGUUUAUCCUAUUAAGAACAAACUAAUUAACAUGAAAAUAGGAAAAAUUCACACGAAGUCAACCCUAUCGGACCCUUGGAAUUUUGAUUGCAAUUUCUUGUAAAUUCAGCCUAAAAGUAUAGGAAGACUUGACUUUUUGAUAAUCAUGUCGACUUCAUAAUAGUUAUUGAGAAGAAAAGAUCUCCAUGAGGGACGUUUUUUUUAAGUCUAGAGAUGCAUGUUUACUUAAUUACUUGCACGUUGAGUGGUCUUGGUUUAAUUACUUAAUUACAGUCUAGUAGUGUACAAUGAAAUUAUUUUUAGGGGUUACUUUAUGAUAAAAUCAAGUGUAAAGUUCCCUGAUUUUUUUGUGUAACAAAGAAUUUUAGCAUCUUUAGUUUACUGAAACAGUUGGGAGCUCUACAUUAAGCUAGGGCAGACAAGAAUAUUCUGUUUCAUGGUUUUUUAAACUUAACUGCAACUUAUUUCAGUUCCUAUGUCUCAAUAAUCUUAACUUCACAGCCAUCAUGUUAGUUAAAGAUAUUGCUAUCUCCAAGAAGAAGUUGUGGCCUAUAGAAUAGUUGUAGUCUCUGUCACGAUUGAUGAAGAAUUCCAAGGUCAGUGGACCCAAAGUCUUGCCUUAAAGCCUGAAGGUCAAUACUGUUUAGAAUGUUCAAUCAAAUGGCAUCUAUUCUUAUCUUCAAAGCAAAUAGCUUUCAGACCAUACAUCCAUGGACAUGGAUAUCCUUUCUUUCAGUGCUUGUUUCCUCAUCAUCUUCUCCAAAGCUUCCAGCGCACUCGACAAGAUUUCUCCGUCUGAGUCACUCACUGAUGGCACGACCUUGGUCUCUAGUGAUGGAAGCUUUGUAUUGGGUUUCUUCACUCCGGGGAGUUCCAAGAAUCGUUACUUGGGAAUUUGGUACAAUAACAUCCCCAUGCAAACUGUUGUAUGGGUUGCAAACAGGAUAAAUCCGAUAAAUGACACCACUGGCUUGCCGCAGAUAGAAAGCACUGGCAGAGUCGUGCUUCUAGGUCAGAACCAAACAACUGUUUGGUCAAUUAAUUCCACAGAAGCAGCUCAGAAUCCGAUUCUGCAGCUCCUGGAUUCAGGCAGUCUUGUUGGCAGAGAUGGAAAAGAUGGUGAUUCAGAGAACUACUUGUGGCAAAGCUUUGAUUAUCCAACUGAUACAAUGUUACCAGGGAUGAAGAUUGGUUGGGACCUGAUAACUAAUUUAAAUCGAAGAUUAGCAGCAUGGAAGAACUCAGAUGAUCCAUCUCCUGGGGACCAUACUUAUGUGGUGGAACUCCAAGGCAAUCCAGAGGUGGUGCUGCGGAAAGGCUCAGAAAAGUACCAUCACAGUGGCCUAUGGAAUGGCGAUGGAUUUAGUGGUGCACAAAAUUUAAGAUCAAAUCCGGUCUAUGAGUACGACUUUGUCUGGAAUGAGGAGGAGGUGUACUACGUAAAUUACCUCAAAAAUAAAUCGGUGAUGUCAAGGUUUGUUUUGAACCAAACUGAAAAGGUAAGACAGCGGUACACAUGGAACCCAGAAACUCUAACUUGGAUGUUAAUUUCAAACAUGCCAAGUGACUGUUGUGACAUACUUGGACUUUGUGGUGCAAAUGGGAACUGCGAUAAUUCCACGCUUCCAGCUUGCCAAUGUUUGAAAGCAUUCAGGCCUAAAUCGCUGGAAAGAUGGAACUCCUUAGACUGGUCUGAAGGGUGUAUACACAAUAAGCCAUUAAACUGCCAAAGCGGAGAUGGAUUUAUUAGAAUUGAGAGGGUGAAAACGCCAGAUACCUCACAUUCUUGGGUGAGCAAAAGUAUGAAUCUCGAGGAAUGCAGGGCUAAGUGCUUGCAGAACUGUUCUUGUAUGGCAUACACUAAUUUAGAUAUUAGAGGAGGAGGUAGCGGCUGCGCCAUGUGAUUUGGUGAUCUAAUUGAUAUU
rnacentral:lncRNA from 1 species